UCCUCGCCGGAGCCUCAAAUCAAUACAAGGUUGGCGACGCCGAGGGCUGGCAGCUGCCUGACGUGAACAACACCGACGUAUAUAAGAUUUGGGCAAGCAAGUUCACAUUCUAUGUCGGGGACACCAUAGGUCAGUGCGUUGCCAUUCUUCCAGUGAUUGUUAAUUUUUUCUAGAGUUUCAUACUCUUCAGAGUGUUUAUCUUUAGAAUAUGAAUAAAUGUUCCCACAGUUAAAAUGGACUGAAGGACCAUAAACAACUAGCAUAUGCUAAUAAUGUUACAAAGAUGAUAUUGAUGAUCUAGUGAACUUCAAAGACGAUACUGCUUGUGAUUCUGUAAUGGUUUCAGGCGCCAUCUGAUUGUGUGUUUAUAAUACAACUAUUGCUUGCUUUGUAUGCAUAAAAUUAAGAUUUUUAUAAAAAUCUUAUCAAUAUACUAACAUUUUAAUCGUCACACACACACACAUUGGGUUCUUUGGUUUAUUUCAUAACAACAUGACUUCUCUUUCUAUAUCCAGUGUUCGAGUACAAGAACGAUUCUGUUGCUAAAGUGGAUAAAAGAGGCUACUACCAUUGCAAUGAGACCAGUCAUGGUUCGAUGUUUAAGGAUGGACACACUGUUUUUCUUCUUGACAAAUCUGGAUUCUACUACUUUGUGAGUGGUGAUCUCGACCACUGCAGAAAGGGCCAGAGACUGAUGAUUGAAGUGAAGGACCAGCAGUUGCCACCAUCUAUUGCUGCCCCUUCAGUAUCUCCACGUCCAAGCGCGGCGGUCUCAUGGUUCAUUCCAUCUUUUGGUACCCUGAAGGCUUUGGAGGCCUUAAUGAUCGUGGCUUCCUGUGGACCUUAUUUAGCUUAGACAUCAUCACCUGGAAAAUUAGCUCUGAUGGACAACAGGAAUAGGAGUUGAGAUCUCUCUGUCUCUCCCUCGCUCAACCCAUUGUUAUUAUCAGGAUAGAUUUAGGUGCAUGAUCUGCUGUCAUUAUGGAUGUUAGUAAGCUUGUUACUGUGAUCUAUUUAUAUUUCAUUAUUUUUUGAUGUAAUUGUCUAAAUGAAUUUUAACCAUUAGUUGCCUGCUUUACGAGGCUUAUCCUACAUUUGCUCGCUCCCUGAGCUUGCACUAUUAAAUAGAUUUUAUUCGGGCAGCUCCUCAAAUAAUCCAGGACACUAGGUUGAAGAUUUCCUCCAUCCUCAUUCUCUACCAUGUUUAGCAUGUAUAACUAAGAGAAGUAUAUAAAAGCAAAAAAUAGUGCACAAUGGUCAUAUUCUAUAUAUUUUUAGUUGGUAGGAUCAGAAUCAUCCAUCAGCUGUUUCGUCUCUUUAAUGAAUUAUUACAUGCAUCACAUGAUUUUCGCGAAUGGGUUAGCUGUUCAUGCUACAUGGCAUACUAAACUUAAUAGUGGUGUGAAAAUUGCGAGGAUUCCAAAUUGCUAGAACUAUGGCGAAGUUUUCAGUCAUUUUUUUCAUAUGAAUCAAUGAAUUGUUGCAAAUUUUAACUAAGAAACGUGCGAAAACCUUCAUCAUCUUGACGAGCAAUGCAAUCACAGUGGCUCAAACUUUUUCUUUUUGAUGGAUAGUAACACAUUUCAUUUUUAACUCUUGAGAUGAUUCCAAAAGUUUGCAAUACUAACAACAGGUAUGCAAAUAUUACAAACGGCAUAAGGAAUUACGAAAGGUCCAAAACAAAACUUUACUCAAUUUUUCUUCAUUUUUUUUAAAAAUACCCUCUGUGCCAGUGCGUGAUAAUAUAAAAGAUAAAAUAAUAAACCUCGAGCGUCCUUUUUAGGCCUCUCAAGCGGCCGACGUUGCUCCCCUGCUGAUGCACACCAUCCUUGAGAAGAUUUAAGAGGACCCACCAGGUGUCUACAGGCCCCUCUUCCUCGCUGCGGGGCCCAACCUCUCCCACCUCUUCUUCCAUUUAGCAUUCCGUUGUUCCCCGAUUCGCGGCCCUUCCUCUUUCGUCCCCUUCCGGUUCCCACCGGAUCCAUCUCACCCUCGGGCCGGCGACACGGAAAAUGGGAUGCCCCUUCCGUGGUGGGAUCUUUUAGGUACGGGUGGUAUGGAACGAGCCUACGACCAUGGCGAUAGCUGAGGGCCUCCGCCGGAUCCUCUCCGGUGGGCUACAACCUUCCCGCUGCCCGGAUUUCGAGGCAUCGAAGUCGUUCCGGCUUCUGGAUCCCCGGUCACAGCCGAGGCUUUGGUUCUUGUUCCGAACCCUGGUCUGGUUUUAUAGGCGAUUUCUUGAACGGUGCUUUUAAAUUUGGAAGGUUCGGGACGGUCGGCGUUUGUGCAUGUACCUAUGAUUCGAGAUGGUCAAGCGUUCUUGCGUGCUACAGCUGUGAGAAAGCGAGUGGGUUCCGAUCGUGGCUAUAAUUUCGUGACAUGGUGGGGAUAUCUAGCGUGAAUUGUUUGGAUUCUGAUUUGAUGUGCUUGUUAAAUUCUGCGUAUCUUUGAGAU
rnacentral:lncRNA from 1 species